GUUGCUUAAGCGUUCACGUUAGGGUCACACAAUCAAUUACCUCCUAAAUGUAUCAUCUCUAUUUUCAAUAUCUGAAUACACAAGGAAACUAUAAUCUCCUCCUUCACCUUAUCGGUCUCUUCUUUACAACAAUUCAGUCAUACCAAUAACUGCUAUUUCCACCAAUAUAUUCACCCUCAUAAUCUCCAACUAUAAUACUGCGCCCUUAUAACUUUCAACACACAAAUAUCCUCAUUUCAAUCACUGGAAUUCUUCACACAGAAUUGCCAUUCACAUUACAGUGUUUCACACAAAUACAGACUCAUUCUCUCUGCUGAACUACAAUCAGAUUUCAGCAUUCAAUCUUUCUUCUUCUCAAAUAAUACCAAUCUCAUUUCCAUUCCAUAAUUCACUUAUUAAUAUUUAGAAACUCUCAAUCUUCUUAUUCAAAGAAAAUAACAAACAAAAGAAAAAGAGGUAGCACCAAGCUUACCCCGGCUCACAACUAUCACAACGAUGGCACCU
rnacentral:lncRNA from 1 species